rnacentral:lncRNA from 1 species
CUCCAGGCCAGGGCUUAGAUGGAGCCUUUAGAUUUGCCCAGCUUCAGGCAGAGACCUUUGGCGUGGGAGUGCAGAAUAUGGAAGAGGUGUCGUGUAUUAUGCCAUCAUGAUCCUAAGCCUACCACCUGCAGCUGGAAGAACUCCUUCCUCUGGAAGAAGUUUGUUAUGCCCUAAGGUAAGUGAUUUUCUCUUGAAAAAGGUAUAAAGAGAAAAAUAUAAAAAAGAUAAUAUUUCAGACUUUAAGCUGCAGUGGCCUGAAUAUGAAUGUCAUAUUGAAUCUUCCUAAUGCAGGAGAGGAAGACAUCAUCCAACAUGACAGAUGAUAACAGGAGCAUUGAACAUGAGGAAUAUAAUCUUUCAAAACUGGUAAUUUUCAGGGCCAGUUAUACUGUUUAGAAAAUCAAAAUAUUAUGCAGACAUUAAAGGAAAAACACUAAAUUAGCUGGAAGAAAGAUGGGCCCAUAUGUCCCGUCAGCACAUUUAUUUUAGUAAGCAACUCUGUGUUCAAUCACCAGCAUGCCACCAAGAAAUGAAUCUGAACACGUAGGAGGCUGUGUGGGUAAUAACGAAAAACACAACAACCACAGAAAUUUAUUUACAACAUCAUUAAAACAGGGGGAAAUAUGGUAAUGGUUUGGUUUCUCUUUAAUUGCUAUUUUCACAAAAAACGCACAUCAUAACCUAGUUUAGAACCCAUAACCAAGCAGACUGUACAUAUUUUUGAUAAUACCAACAAUUAAGCAGUGGAUGAAGAUUGAUAUAAGUAAUUUAGAUACAAAAAUACGUAUUUUUCUUAGAACUCUGCCUGUAGCAUUUGAAAUAGGAAUGCAACCUUGUGUCAGGUAAGAUUAAUUCAGCAGUAUGUCUUGAGCACUGUGCACCAAGUACAAGCUGUAAAACCAUACAGAUAGGUGAAACUGAACAUAAAUAUCUCCCCAUCUUUCCCCUGAUACAUCUCUUCCACCUUCUAAUACCCUUCUUUUAAAGCUCUUGAAACUGCGUAUACUUGUAUAGGAAGGUACAUUUCUUUGACUAACCAAAACUACUCUCUCUCAAUUUGAAUGGCUUUAACUUCCUCCAUUGUAUCUGAAAUUCAAUGCAAGCAAGCUAGCAUUUUCCCAUCUCUAAUAGAAACAUACUUAACAAAGCCUAUCUUUAUUAUAUGAUAAAACAU